UGUGCUUUGAUAAGAGUAGAGCACAUCAUAAGAGCCUCUUGUGGAGAUAGGCUAAUUCUGCCCAAACUGAGAGUGAGUUUUGGAUAGACUGAUUAUUAUUGAAUCUUUACCAUGGAGAAUGGUACACGACGUGAUCAGCUUUAUCCUCUCUCUAUUGUCUACUUAGUGUUUCUCACUCCAAGUGUGAUUGGGAGUUUUUCUGUCCUGGUGGUUUCCAUUGUGA